rnacentral:rRNA from 1 species
GACGAACGCUGGCGGCGUGCCUAAUACAUGCAAGUCGAACGCAGUGGGGACGGGUGAGUAACACGUGGGUAACCUCCCAUCAGAGGGGAUAACACUUGGAAACAGGUGCUAAACCGCUACUGAUGGAUGUACCCGCGGUGCAUUAGCUCGUUGGUGAGGUAACGGCUCACCAAGGGCACGAUGCAUAGCCGACCUGAGGGUGUGAUGGGCAACGCUGGGACUGAGACACGGUCCAGACGCCUACGGGAGGCAGCAGGAGGGAAUCUUCGGCAAUGGGCGAAAGGCUGACCGAGCAACGCCGCGUGAGUGAAGAAGGUUUUCGGAUCGUAAAACUCUGUUGUUAGAGAAGCGGUAUCUAACCAGAAAGCCACGGCUAACUCCGUGCCAGCAGCCGCGGUAAGAC